AAGUCGUAACAAGGUUUCUGUAGGUGAACCUGCAGAAGGAUCAUUCAUGAAGCCACCCGGAGGGGCUGUUCGGUCAAACGGAUAGUCUCAAUGGGAGCAAUUAUACACUGUGAACCUUAAAACACAUUGGUGUCCAUGUAGUGUUGGUGCAGGCUCUGCUUGCAACUUGUGCCAACCAAAAGCUGGAUGCUGGGGGCUUAACUAACCAAUCAUUUCAUUAUUGUCUAAAAAUCUUUAAUUAUACAACCUUUAACAAUGGAUCUCUUGGCUCCU
rnacentral:misc_RNA from 1 species